rnacentral:rRNA from 1 species
UACAGAGGGGGCAAGCGUUAUUCGGAAUUAUUGGGCGUAAAGGGCGCGUAGGCGGUUCGGUAAGUGGAAUGUGAAAUCCCCCGGCUUACCCGGGGAACUGCAUCCCAUACUGCUGGACUUGAGUGCGGGAGAGGAUGGAGGAAUUCCUGGUGUAGCGGUGAAAUGCGUAGAUAUCAGGAGGAACACCAAUGGCGAAGGCAGCUCGCUGGGACGUGACUGACGCUGAGACGCGAAAGCGUGGGGAGCAAACAGG